AUUGAACGCUGGCGGCAGGCCUAACACAUGCAAGUCGAGCGAGCGGCGGACGGGUGAGUAAUGUAUGGGGACUGCCCGUUAGAGGGGGAUAAAUACUGGAAACGGUAGCUAAUACCGCAUACUAUCGGAUAACCCAUAUGGGAUUAGCUAGUAGGUGGGGUAAUGGCGCACCUAGGCAACGAUCCCUCGCUGGUCUGAGAGGAUGAUCAGCCACACUGGGACUGAGACACGGCCCAGACUCCUACGGAGGCAGCAGUGGGGAAUAUUGCACAAUGGGCGCAAGCCUGAUGCAGCCAUGCCGCGGGUAUGAAGAAGGCCUUAGGGUUGUAAAGUACUUUCAGUCGGGAGGCGUUACCGGCAGAAGAAGCACCGGCUAACUCCGUGCCAGCAGCCGCGGUAAUUC
rnacentral:rRNA from 1 species